AACGCAUAUUGCGCCCUCUGGUAUUCCGGAGGGCAUGCCUGUUCGAGCGUCAUUUCUACCUUCAAGCAUGGCUUGUGUGUUGAGCAUCUGUUCUUUUUAAGAACAUGCUUGAAAUGCAGUGGCGAUGGCGAGUUUGAAGCCCGAGCGUAUGGAGCUUUGUCACACGCUGCGGUGGCCCGGCUCACUAUCUUCUGUCAGUUUUGUUAUUAUAACACAAAAAUCUGAUUGACCUCGGAUCAGGCAGGGGUACCCGCUGAACUUAA
rnacentral:misc_RNA from 1 species